AACGAACGCUGGCGGCGUGGAUUAGGCAUGCAAGUCGAACGCGAAAGAGGGGGCAACCCCUCAAGUAGAGUGGCGAACGGGUGAGUAACGCGUGAAGAACCUGCCUUCGAGAGGGGGAUAACACUCCCAGCGGGGUGCUAAUACCGCAUGAGACCACGGGUCCACCUGGACCUGAGGUCAAAGGUGGCCUCUGCUUGCAAGCUACCGCUCGAAGAUGGCUUCGCGUCCCAUUAGCUAGUUGGCGGUGUAACGGACCACCAAGGCGACGAUGGGUAGCUGGUCUGAGAGGAUGGUCAGCCACACUGGGACUGAGAUACGGCCCAGACUCCUACGGGAGGCAGCAGUCGAGAGGCUUUGUCAAUGGGGGAAACCCUGAACAAGCGACGCCGCGUGGAGGAUGAAGGCCCUUGGGUUGUAAACUCCUUUUGCUGGGGAAGAAGUGCGAUCAGGUGAACAAUCUGGUCGUUUGACGGUACCCAGCGGAUAAGCUCCGGCUAACUCCGUGCCAGCAGCCGCGGUAACACGGGGGGAGCAAGCGUUGUUCGGAAUCACUGGGCGUAAGGGGCGUGUAGGCGGUCAGAUAAGUGGAAUGUGAAAUGCCCCGGCUCACCCGGGGACCGGCAUCCCAAACUGUCUGGCUUGAGUAUGGGAGAGG
rnacentral:rRNA from 1 species